AAGGAAUCCUGGGAAUUGUAGUUUGUUAAGGAUACAGGGAAUUGUAGCUUUGUGAGGUCUCCUAACUACUCUCUGCACCAUUAACAAACCACAGUUCCCAGGAUUCUU